rnacentral:lncRNA from 1 species
GGAAAACUCCAGUCCAGAAACUCCAAGAGGGAAAAGUUUUAAUUUUUUAAAAGUUUCCAUUUUUUUGUUCCAGAUUUUAGAGAAUUUAUUAAUUAGAGUCUGUGAAGACAAGAUUAGAAAAAAAACCCAAAAUUAAACAUCAUCAUGUUACAGAUCAACUCCGAUGUUGUCAGUGCAGAAGAGCCAGCAGUGGAGGUGGUUUUCUGUAACACCAGUAUCCCCCACAGCCGGAGUCUGGACAAAAACAUUUCUGUCAUUCUGGAAUGCAUAUGGAGAGAGAGCAAAGAGAUAUAUGUGCUACUAGGCUUUUUUUUCUUCACAGUAACCUGAAUUCAUGACAUUUAUUCUAAGCACAGCUGUUACUGUCUUUCAGCUGUAAAAAAAAAUAAAGAGGAAAAAAAUUCUUUUGGCA